GGCAGGGAGGGGGUUAGCAGCCCUCAGGGCCCGGUAUCAGUACCUCCUCGGCCUCUGCCAGAGAGGCGCCUGCCUGUGCCGUCCUGGCCCACACCAGGAAGCCAUCCUCGGGUGUCGGCCAGAGCAAACAGCACAAGGAAUGAAGUGACCCCGAGAGAAUAAAUCAUUUCGCAAGAAGGUUGGGUUCUCGUGUUUUUAUCCUCAACAGAAUCCGAAAAAUUAAAAACGAAUUUGACGCUGGAUUACUUUGUGAUGUUUGGCAUCUAAGCUGGACACAGUUGAAAAAAUGGACGGGCCUCACUAGAAAAAAAAAAAAAAAAAAUCCCUUCCAGUGUCAUCCAGCCAGCGUGCACAUCCUGUAAAAAUGAAAAACGGGAUGCUGGUGUCUGUCUGGUUUUAGCAAUAAACAACAUCCAUCCGUGGGUGCAUCGACUCAAUGAGGAGGAGAAAAUAUCUAAACACCUCAUUACGAGAGAGAUGCCUUUCUAAUAACAUUUAGCCUUUUGUGGCUAAUCAUCAUUUAUCAAAAUUGUAAUACCCACAUUACUGUGAUUUGUGUGCUAAGAAUAAUUGUAAUGACCACCUGGUGGAGGGGGGGACAUUUGAUCAGAGCCUCAUGACCGCGGAAGUGGUAAAGUUUUAAUGUUUUAA